GUUCCUUUUACAGCUGGAAUAUGCAAAUAACAGGUUGAACUGAACACCUUUAAAUAAUUUGCUGAUGGCUUUACCUCUGACCAAGCUUCUAUAGGUGUUUUAACCUCCACAGCUUAGUUGGUGACCUAUUCAAUACAUACACCGAAGUAUAUGCUGUCUCAACCCAAAAUUGCUUAGGUAAAGACUUAUCAUCAAACGCCUUGCCAUUUCUACAGCAGCCC
rnacentral:lncRNA from 1 species